rnacentral:misc_RNA from 1 species
GGAGGAGGGACGAUGAAGGCUAUAAAGACUGCCGUCUGUGCUCUGGGUUUGUCAGAAGCCUUCGAAUCUUACCUGCCUGUCCCUCCUCAAGCCUCCACCUGCCGACCGAGUUCUUCACUUCCUGAACAUUACGAUGUCUUUGCCAACUCCCUACUCGAAGAACUUUUCAAAAGUACUGGAAGCAAAUAGAAAGAUUGGAAUCGAUGCCGUCUUCAAAGGAGAUGGCGACAUAUUCACUGUCAUGCUGCUGUGUGAUGGAGACAACGAAAUGGCGGACGCGCUGCUCAUUUUGGACAUCGAUAGCUCUCAGAUUAAAAUUUCUUACCGCAAAGACGGCGUAAGAGAAACUCCCAAAAUAGUUCCAAGGUGUGACUGCAUAACGGACAAUCAGCUGCGUCUGUUCAUCGAAACGGAGACCAAACAAUUCAAGAUGACUCUAAACGAAAAAAAAUUGGAGAACCUUUCUUACAACUUUCCUCUGAAGAUGGUGAAAUCCAUCUGGAUCGACGGAGACAUUAAUCUUAACAAGGUCGCCUUGCCAGACGAUGCUAUCUAGGGAUCAGAUUCGAACCCUUUGUACUCCAGAAAAAUGAACUCAGUAAUUUACCUUCUAGUUCUCAUGUCUUGAUAUAAUACGCCUCCUCGGAAAUCAUGUCAAAUAUUCAAGUAUUUCAUUUGUUACUGGCUGUUUUGCUGUGAGUAGAGUAUUGCAGACAAGCAGAGAAAUUAGUUAAGCUAAUUUUUAUGUAUACUCAUCUUGGAAACAUAUUUGCCGCAGUUGUUUUUACAAUUCAGUAAACUAAGAUAAGCAGAAAUUAUUAUCGUG